rnacentral:rRNA from 1 species
GUGGAUUAGAUACCCUGGUAGUCCUAGCCGUAAACGGUGAUCACUAGGUGUUGGGGGCAUUGACCCCUCCAGUGCCGCAGCUAACGCAUUAAGUGAUCCGCCUGGGGAGUACGGCCGCAAGGUUGAAACUCAAAGGAAUUGACGGGGGCCCGCACAAGCGGUGGAGCAUGUGGUUUAAUUCGACGCAACGCGAAGAACCUUACCCAGGCUUGACAUGCACUAGACGGGUGUGGAAACACACCUUCCCUUCGGGGCUGGUGCACAGGUGCUGCAUGGCUGUCGUCAGCU